rnacentral:rRNA from 1 species
UACAGAGGUCUCAAGCGUUGUUCGGAUUCAUUGGGCGUAAAGGGUGCGUAGGUGGCGCGCUAAGUCAGGUGUGAAAUUUCGGAGCUUAACUCCGAAACUGCAUUUGAUACUGGUGUGCUUGAGGACUGGAGAGGAGACUGGAAUUUACGGUGUAGCAGUGAAAUGCGUAGAGAUCGUAAGGAAGACCAGUGGCGAAGGCGGGUCUCUGGACAGUUCCUGACACUGAGGCACGGAAG